AGAGCGAACGCUGGCGGCAGGCCUAACACAUGCAAGUCGAGCGCCCGUAGCAAUACGGGAGCGGCAGACGGGAUAGUAACACGUGGGAACGCGCCCUUCGGUUUGGAAUAACUCAGGGAAACUUGAGCUAAUACCGGAUACGCCCUUACGGGGAAAGAUUUAUUGCCGAAGGAACGGCCCGCGUCCGAUUAGCUAGUUGGUGAGGUAAUGGCUCACCAAGGCGACGAUCGGUAGCUGGUCUGAGAGGAUGACCAGCAUCACUGGGACUGAGACACGGCCCAGACUCCUACGGGAGGCAGCAGUGGGGAAUAUUGGACAAUGGGCGCAAGCCUGAUCCAGCCAUGCCGCGUGGAUGAUGAAGGCCUUAGGGUUGUAAAGUCCUUUUAACGGGGAAGAUAAUGACGGUACCCGUAGAAUAAGCCCCGGCUAACUUCGUGCCAGCAGCCGC
rnacentral:rRNA from 1 species